GUGCCUGGUGAGUGUUACGUUUGGAGGAAGAGCGUGUUUGUUCAGAGAGACCUCUAAUUAGACGGUACAGCAACCCUACAGCUGGAUAGCCCGCACUGCUUGCCUCUGACAAGAGCUUUCUGUUUGUGCCAGCAGUUGUUAUGACACCGGCAUAUCCCAGCAGUGGGAGGCACCAUCGAAUAGAUCCGCAAAUGCAUGCAAGAAUGCACGAGGCAAAGGAAAACAGAAAGAAAGAAAAAAAAAGUGCUGCUUCUGCUAUGUCUGCAUGCUUCCAGCUGCUCCCUGGGAAGCAUCGGUCGCGGGCCCCAGGGCACCGCAGCCCGCUAGGGGGAGGCAUCGGCUCGGGAAAGCCCCCGGAUCCCGCCCCGCACCGCCCCGCGCCCGGGGCAGCUCCAGCUGCACGUUCUCCUACUCCCAUAGGUUUGCAGCAUCUGCAAAAAGCCUCUUGGAAAUGGAGCCUAUCUGCAUCAAUUCAAAGAAUCAGUCCCACAGAAAAUCUUGAAUGAUCUGGUCUGCAGACUUCAGCUAUGAACGUCUCACAAACCUCAUCUCACGGAUAAUAAGGACGAAGUGCUACAUCAUCAAAAUAUGAAAGCCAGCAGUGAAGGAAAGCUGUUACACAGUGCAAAUCCUCAUAAUGUGAAUAACAAAGCCUUUCGGCAUAGCUCCUUGCUCUCUCUCUCUUUUUUUUUUUUUCCUUCUUCUUAAUGUUGUAUGUCAUUUUUGUGAUAUUUCUCAUGAAAGAGCAGCUCUGCUGCCACCAUUAACACAGUCAAUGUGUUACAUUGAUGUGGAGUCUGCAGUCCCCUAACAAAAGACCAUGGAAUUAAUUCAAAUUCAGCUUGAGUUCUGGGGAGUAAGAUUUAACAGAAAGCAAAACUAUUUAAUUAAAACAUAGAAAGUCUCGAAAGUUUCCCAGGAAAAAUAUACUGAUAUACAGUAUGCUGUAGAAUACCUGUGGCAGACUACAGAUAUAUUUGAUAAUUUGAAAUAACUUUGAUUAUGUCAGUUUUAUGCUGCUGUUGGAUUAUACAUCACUUUUCAACUACCUAAGAACAAAUCUCUUCAUUUCCCAUCCAUGUGUGUAUAUUCUACUAAAAUUACACUGCUUGAUAUUGCUAAAGCUCUGCAAAGUUGUGUUUAAAGUCCCGUGUUUCUAGAGUCAUCCAGAGUCUCCUACCAUUAAAAAAAUAAUGGACAUCUGUAAAAAACAAGCAGACAAACAACACCAACCAACACUGAUGGUCAGUUAUAGGGGUUUCUAAAAAUAAUAAAAAAAUUAGUUCUUAUUUUUCUUUCUAUCUAAGAUCAUACUCCUAAGAAAGGCUGGCUACAGAAGUGUUGAGAUAGAAAGGCAGUAUACAUGUCAUUUAAUUUCGUUCUACAACUACUUUUAAAAUGGGAUGUGAUAAAAGACUUUUAGUGCUUACAUGGGACAAUUGGCAUGAUCCACCUGGCUGUAGCCACUUUUCCAGCCAGUAAAACCUUGUUUUCCCUGCCUGCCUCUUAUGUUUCUUCAGGCUCCACUUCUUAUGAUUAUAAGAAGAAUUGACAUAGAAUAUUUGCUGUUUCAUGAAAAAAAGUAUUAUAAUAAAUCAGCCCCUGUAAUAAAAUCAAAUUUUAUUCGAUUUCAGUAACAUGAACUCAGCUCAUUGCUUUUCACCCUGACAUUGUGCCUGGCAGCCACUUGCCAGCAGCUGGGGCGGUUGGCUAACGGGAAUUACAGCACUACCUGUCAAGAGUUCUGUCUUGAAACCACCCAUUUGGUUUGUAGUACUCUGGUGAACCAGCUCAGUGCUGUAUUGAUUGUGUCCUACUCUUCAACCACCAACAAGAUUUCCUUUGACCUGCCCUUCAUUCUGGUUUCUCUCGGUUGCCAUCCACUCCUUCUCCAGCUGCUCAGCCUAAUUCCACCUGCAUUGCUGCCUGACCAUCCCUCUUCUCCUCUUCUUUAGAUUUUGUCAUCAAUGAUCUCUGCAUCUUCAUCUCAUGCCUCUCUGGCUCUUUCAGAGUUCAUGAACAGCACUGGAUAUUAAACCAAGAUCAAUCAAGAUUCAACCUUCAAGGCCUUCAACCAAGGCCUUGGGCACCCCCAGCUGUUUCAUUGUCACCUGCUGCUCUGCUUCUGAUUUCUUUUGCUGGUAGUUGUUUGGUCUCCUUUGGCAGCUCUGAUGCUUUAAUCAGUGACACAGCCUUCUUGCUCUGAAGCCUACAACUUCUCUAAUGGUGUUUUUUUGUUGGACACCUGGGCCUCAGCUUCCACUCUCCUCUCUAGUAAGUGAAGAAGAACUCCACUGCAUUUUGUUCUUCUGUAGUUUCUUUUUCUGCUGUAAAGAAAAAUAAAAAAUA